GAUUAUACAGCUCCGGUGAUCUAUUAGUUAGAGCGUCCGCCUCGGAUGCAGGAGGUCGUGGGUUCGAGCCCCAGCCGAAUCA